UCGCUUCCUUAAUCAUCUACAGUUUCACAUCGAACGUCAGAUAUUUCAAAUCGAACAACAAAUUCACAUCAAUUAUUCAAACAAUCAACAGUUUCAGAUCGAUUACUCAGUCGAACAACAAAUUCAGUUCGUUUAUACAAUCGAUAACAACUAAUUCAGAGCAGUUAUUCACACGAACAACAAUUUCAGAUCUAUAGUUCAAUCGAACAACAUAAUCAGCUCAAUUAUUCAAUCGAACAACGAAAUUAGAGCGAUUAUUCAAUCAAACAACAAAUUCAGAUCAAUUAUCGAAUCGAACAACAAAAUUAGGUCAAAAAACGGAAAUGUAAACAACAAAUCAUACCUCAAAGUACGGAGGAUGUAGAGCAGGUUUUUUAGCUUUUCGUGGAGCAGAAGCUUUCUUCGUCUUCUUCACUUUCGCAUCCUUAGCCUCGGUUUCAGCCGGAGGAGCUUCCGUCGCCGUGUCGCCGGCGGCGGCCGGCUCCGCCACAGUAGGCUCAGUCGCAACAAUCGGUUCUUCCGUCGCCAUUACGUGAGCUAGAGUUUCGUUAGGGUUUUGAUAUAGCAGAUCGGAAAUUGCAGGUGUGUGAUGUUGAUGAUGAUGAUGAUGAUGAUGAAAUUUGGGAUUUAAAUAAAGUGAAUUUAAUGAGGGGUGUAGAGAUACUGAAAUCUGAUUGGUUGAUAGGCCUACCACACGGAUGGUGUGAGUUUGAAUAUUAUCCGUUCGAUUAUUUAAGAUCAACGGCUACAAGACAAGAUGGAUGAGGUGUUUAAUGAGAGGUGUAAUGAAGAUUUUGGAUGAAUGGUAGGCAUGAGAAUUAA
rnacentral:lncRNA from 1 species